rnacentral:rRNA from 1 species
UUUAGCAUGGAAUAAUAAAAUAGGACGUGUGGUUCUAUUUUGUUGGUUUCUAGGACCGUCGUAAUGAUUAAUAGGGACGGUCGGGGGCAUCAGUAUUCAGUUGUCAGAGGUGAAAUUCUUGGAUUUACUGAAGACUAACUACUGCGAAAGCAUUUGCCAAGGACGUUUUCAUUAAUCAAGAACGAAAGUUAGGGGAUCGAAGACGAUCAGAUACCGUCGUAGUCUUAACCGUAAACUAUGCCGACUAGGGAUCGGAGGGCGUUACAAUAACCUUUCCGGCACCUUACGAGAAAUCAAAGUUUUUGGGUUCUGGGGGGAGUAUGGUUGCAAGGCUGAAACUUAAAGGAAUUGACGGAAGGGCACCACCAGGAGUGGAGCCUGCGGCUUAAUUUGACUCAACACGGGGAAACUCACCAGGUCCAGAAAUCUAGA